rnacentral:RNase_P_RNA from 1 species
AGAGAAGAUAAAAUGUCUGCCUGACCACUAAAUUUCAUUGAAGAAGUUCUUUAUGAAUUUAGUGGUCAGGAGGAAAGUCCGAACACCAGAGGGCAGGAUACUUCUUAACGGGAAGUCCCGGUAACGGGAAGCCAGCUCCACAGAAAUAAACUACCUGACCACUCAUUUUAAAAUUUUAUUUAGAAUUUUCAAAUGAGUGGUCGGGAAAAGGUGAAAUGGUAGUGUAAGAGACUACCGGUUUUCGGUGUGAAUCGAGAAGACAGGAAAGCCUUAUCCGGUGCAAUGCCAAAUAGGAGAACAGGUUUGCCCGACCGAAUUGUUCUCGGGUAGGCAGCUAAAACCGGUUCGCAUUUGUCGAAUCUCAUUCGAGAAUAGUAAUAUCCGGUUUAGAGAAAUAGACAUUAGAUCGUUUUUUAGACGAUUUACAGAAUUCGGCUUAAUACCUUCUCUGACA